rnacentral:lncRNA from 1 species
CAAAAGUCAGCCUUCUUUUUAUCAUUAAUGCUGGAAAGACUGCUUGUACUGUAGGGUGAGAGACUGCAGCAAUAGGACAAAGAGUAAUGGCCUAAAACUUCAACAGACUAAGUUCUGUACUAACAUGCAUUAAGAACUUCUUUAUGGUAAGGGUGAGCACUGGAACAGGUUGCCCAGAGAGGUUGCAGUCUUCUUCUAUGGAGAUAUUCAAGACCAGUCUGGAUGCUUACCUGGGUGACCUAUUGUAGGGUACUUGCUUUAGCAGGGGGUUGGACUCAGUGAUCUCUUGAGGUCCCUUCCAACCCCUGCAAUUCUGUGAUUCUGUGAUUUAAGUGAAGCUGUAAGAAAGUAGACUUUGAGAAAUGUGCCUGACAAUAACGGUGGGAGUCCUGAGAGAGACUGUGGCAUUCAGAGAAAAUGAAGUGAGUACUUCUGAUCACAUCCUGCUUAGAUUCAGCACUGUAUCACACGUACUGUAUUGCAGCAAAUGCUACAAACCAAAACUCAACUGAAAAUAGUUUAAUUACAUAUCCAAAUCAGAGAAUUGGGAACUGAGUAAUCAACAACAUGCUCUGUAUCUUCAGCAUCUCUUCCGUCCUCCACCUCCUGGUUUACGUGCCUUUUUCUCUUAGCUAUAUUUAUUGUAACAAAUCUAAGAGAUUAAGAAAAACCAAAAGAAAUCACAAAUCUCCUGACACUGUAUUCCAUCUGACAUUGAAGAACUUUUAUUUCCAGUAGGCUGUUCUUUCCUCUUAAGAAUGGCUUUUACCUCCUGAUGUUUCAUUAGGAAAAAAAAGAAAAAAAAAAAAGGCCAAAAACCAUUUUCCUUCCUUUAACCAAAGGGAUUCAAAAAUGAGUAGUCAGUCUCCUAUUAGUAGGAUGCAGCCUCCCAGCUCUGUUGGCCAACAGGGAAUCUAUUCAGCUCGUCCCCACACCUCUUCACGAGCUGCUGCUGCCAGACCUGCAGCCAGAUUACAAACAAAGCAAUUCCUUUCCAAGCAUGUUUUCAAAGACUUUUAUCAUUUUUACAGUAACAGACUUAGUAUUAUAACAUCCUCUCCACUGAUUAUUGAUAGAUUCAUUUGAACACUUAUCAUGCUUAUCUGGAAAGAUAAUCUUGCAUGCAACAGCACAAUGUGGCAAUAGUCAGAGCUCAGAGUUGGCCCCUGGACACAUCUAGAAGGUAUAUGAAUUCAAAUGUGUCUUCUUUUUUUAAAGGCAAGAGUUAACCACUGCAAUGCAGAAUAAGGACUGACAUACAAAGUAGUUACCACAAACCAGCAGCUCUGCAGGGAAUAUUUAUGUACACACUCUCAACUCUUCCUUCUUCCCGUAAAUGCAAGAUAUGCUGCUUUUAAUUGUGUCACACUUACUCCUGGGUAGUAUAGAGAAGCAUACACACACACACAAAGCAAAACAACCACUGAAUGAGGUACAAUGCAUCAAUUUUGAAUUAAUUUGUUUACAAACUGUGUAGCCCUUGUACCUCACCAAUGUGAGUUCUUACACAAGCCGUGCAUGCACAGAUCUAACAGGCCUUUGUUAAUAAACGCAUUCUUAUGUUUUAUGAAACAUCUGUUAACCUGCUACUCUUCUGGAAACUGUCCCUGCAUUAUUCACUGAGCAAUAAUUCUGAUGACUUGUAACAUAAAGAAGGUAAUUAUUUCCAAGUUGCUGGAUUUGUUGGAGAAUUUUUUCACCUCUUAUUUUGUCUUUCACUGGACAAUUCUGGAGUAAAUCUGCAAAUGAUCUCUUAUCAACAGCUGCAUCAGACUUGACACCGUCAGGUUUUCAAAGUGGUUACACUGUGCAGCCACAAGGAGCCUUUUGCUGUUAUUUUACAGUAGGUAACAAUGAAAGAACGAUUAUAUCCACACACUUUGCUCCAAUUAUUAGUGACAACAGCCUGUGCUGGGGAAUGGCUGAUUUUGCUAAGAUUUGUUACCGAAUCCAUUUACAUUAGCUAUCUCAGCUAUGCAAACCAUUCAAAUUGCACUGCCUUUUAAAGUGCUUCACUCAGCACUUCUCAAGAGGUCUAACUACUCAAAAAACCUGUUUCUUUCAUCAUCUCUGGUACUUCACCUAUCAGCGAGUAGUAUAAACUUUAACAAGGAAUAAAAUUAUUAAACAUCUAUUAUUAAACAUGAGACACCUUGGAAGAACCAAGACUGUCUGCAUUAAGUACCAAUCCAGCUUCUUUGAAGGGCUCAGAAGGUCCAUGGAUGAGGAUGGUUUGGUUGAUAAACAUAGCUGAGUUGCCAGCAAGCUUCCAACCGUGUUCCUCAACAAGGCUUUUAAGGAAAGGUCCUUGCAGGGUAGAAGAGCUGUCUGAAGUCUCUUCUUUCUGGUCAAGGUGCUCUCAGUAGACAAAGUUCACUAGCACAGCUCCUCAGACUUGUGGUAGAGCUGUCAGGUUCAGCAUACUAGGAAAAGGGGGUGGACAAGAUUAUGAUAGUUUAGUGAUAUUCAGUGUGGUGAGCAUGAGGGGCAACAGAUUGAACAGGAAUUAACUGGUCAUAAAAUAGCAAGUAGGAUUCAAUGUAGGUAAGUGUAAAAUGAUGUAUAGGCAGAAAAAGCAAUUCUAACUUUGCACAUACCUGCUCCUGCAUGUAUUCAGAGCUGACCAUUAGCACUCAGAAGUAAAACACUGAAGUUAUGAUAGGAAGUUCCUAAAGCAUCAAUUCAAUCCCCAGUAGAAAUUCAAGACUCAAAGCAACUGUCGGGAUUUUUAUUUUUGAUUUACAGAUUGUAUUAUUUACAGAUAUGAUACAAUUUCCAUUAAAUAAGACAGGACUUUUCAGACUGAAAAAAGAGACAACUGGAAGGAUAUAACAGAAGACUGUAAAAUCCCGAGCACCUUGGAUGGUCACUGUUCAUUCUUCUUCCGAUUGAAGGCUGAGGUAACACCCAGUGAAGAUAACAGGCAGUUCAACACAAAGAAAAAGAGGUGGCUCCUCCCCCAGGGGUCAGCUGAUUUCCUGAACUCCUUGCCAAAAGAUGUUGUGAAGACUAGACAAUCUUGCACAGCAAUCUGUCCAAUGUUUGCUAAAUAUACAAAACCCAUAAUCUGCUUGAGAAGUGAAAAUGGUCAGAGGCUAUGAGAACAGUGAACAAAGAAACAUUUAUAUUUUACCUGUUCUUAGGCUUUUAUUAAGGUUACAGUGUCUGCUGGAGAUGGGAUACUGAAGUAGAUGGAACCUGGCUAAGUAUACCAUGGUCACUAUUGCUUUAUAUUCUAGUUACUGCUACAUGAAACAAACUCAGGAGAAGUACAUUGAUAGAAACUGCUCUUUAGCUAGAAUUGCCACCACAGAAUGGCAGGUGGCCCAGUCUAAAACUUCUCAGGGUUAGUCCAACAGAAAUAAGCAACAUCUUGAAUCCCCAAAGAACACACUGUAUCGAUUAUGCUCAGUUGCUUUUGCAUCAUAAAAUUAUCUGCAAGUUGCUCCUUCUUCUGCCACUGGGCCCCAUCCACUUGACUGCUGUCUAUUAAAUAUUCAUAAGCAUUGACAAGAUCCCUCUUUAGCCUUCUCUUCUCCUGGCUCAAUAGCCCCAGGUCUCUCAGCCUCUCCUCAUACAGCAGAUGCUCCAGGCCCUCAAUAAUCUUUGUGGCCUCUGCUGGACUCUCUCCAGCAGUUCCCCGUCUUUCUUGAACUGGGGAGCCCAGAACUGGACACAGUACUUCAGAUGUGGACUCACCAGGGCAGAGUAGAGGGGGAGGAUCACCUCCCUCAACUUGCUGGCCACACUCUUUUCAGAUACCAUUGGCCUUCUUGGCUACAAGGGCACACUGCUGGCUCAUGGACAACCUGCUGACACUCAGGUCCUUCUCUACAGAGCUCCUUUCCAGCAGGUCACCCCCUUGCCUGUACUCAUGCAUAUGGUUAUUCCUCCUCAGGUGUAGGUCUCUGCACUUGCCCUUGUUGAACCUCAUCAGGUUCAUCUCCACCCAACUCUCAAGCCUGUUCAGGUCUUGCUGAAUGAAUGGCAACACAGCAUUCUGGUGUGUCAGCCACUCCUCCCAGCUUUCUAUCAUCUGCAAACUUGCAGAGAAGGCCUUCUAUCCCUUCAUCUAGGUCACUGAUGUUGAACAAGAACAGAUCCUGUACUGGCCCCUGGGGAACACUGCAGGCCUCCAACCAGACUCUGUACCACUGACCACAACCCUCUGGGCACCGCCAGUCAGACAGUUCUCAAUUCACUCCAUUGUCCACUCACCUAUCCCACAUCUCCUAAGCUAACCUAACUCACGGGGACGUUAUGGAAGACAGUGUCAAAAGCCUUGCUGAAGUCAAGGUUCAUAAUGUUCACUGCUCUCCCUACCUCUACCCUGCCAGCCAUGACAUCACAGAAGGCUACCAAAUUAGUCAAGUGUGAUCUGCCCUUGGUGAAUCCAAGCUGACUACUCUGGAUAACCUCCUCUUCUUUCACUUGUUUGUAAAUGACAUCCAGACUGACAAUGGCACUCCUCCAGUUCACAGGCACCUCUCCUGUUUGCCAUGACCUUUCCAAGUUGAUAGAGAGCAGCCUGGCAAUCACCUCUGCCAGCUCCCUCAGCAUUCAUGGGUGCAUCUCAUCAGAGCCUGUGGAUUUGUGUGCAGCAAUUUUGCCUACAUGAUCCCUGACCAGAUCUUCCUUGAUCAAGGGAAGUAUUCUUUUCCCCACUCUCCUUCCUAUCUCCAGGGCCUGAGAUUUUCAAGGGGCAGCCUAAGGUGUAGAAGACUGUAGCAACAAAGGUGUUCAAGAACUCCAUCUUCUCCGUGUCCUGAGAUGGAUGACUGAAAACAGUAUGGAGUAGACAGGAAGAAAUCUAAGCUUGCAUAGUAUUCUUAAGAAUCAGGGAGGUUCAAAACCCAACUUAAAAUCAGGCCCACCAGACAAAAUUUAUAACCCACAAAUCUUACCAUCUUUAAAUGAAUCCAAAACCUUACUCUUGUCUUUUAGAAGAGAAUAAUAGCUUUUGUACGUUCAAAACUUCUCAAUAAGCACAUUGUAUAGUUGGGGUGAACUUUGUGUUACUUAUCAACAAGCAACUCCUACACAUCCAAACUAUCACUGAGCACGAUGCAAGUGCCAGAGCACCCCGCAGGCCCCACGCAAUGAUGCAGCUGAGGCUCAGCUGUUUUGUGCAGCCUGUGUCCCUUGCAUUUGCUGGCACUGCAACACAAAAAAGAAAGGGCACAAGGGGGCGCCUGAGGCCUCAAAUAUCCCAAGGUUUUCACACCCUGUCUUCUCUGCUACAGUACCUCUGUAGUAUUUCCAGUGUCUAAUUCAGAUCAAGAACAGACUGCUCUGAGCAGGAACAGGAGAGGGCACAAAAAAACCCUGAGCAACGCCCUGAGCUGCAUAGAGCCUAACACCAGUUUUGUUAUUGUACUGACAACAUUUUAGACUAUUUUCAUGAUCUGUUAAAGAUUUUAAUCUGUUGUAUAUUACUUUCUCUGAGUAAAAGCAUAGAUUAGUUUACGUAAAAAUAAAAAUCCUAGCAUAGGUGAGAUUUCAAUGGUAGGAAGUAGGAGAAUUAUCUUGAGAAAAAGCUAAGAUGAAAGUCAAAGUUAAAUAUUUUUGUCAAACUCAGCUUGGCAACUGCCCAGACUGUGGACUUUGGCAGAUUGCUCUCUGGUUAUAACAGAAGCCACUUCCUCUGUAGCAAGAGUCAUAUCAACACCAUUGUGUGCUGCCUGGGGACGGGCUCUGGGGUGUUUCAGUCCUCUGGGUGGGACCUUGGAGCUGCAUGUCGCUUAUGUAGAGCAGAGCGACUGGAAAACCAAAGCCACAACCCCCGCAGCAGCAGCCCUAUGGGAGUUCUCCUAUGCAUAUCUGGUUGGGAAAUGAAUCAGGGUAUUUUUCUCCCCACGCUGACCCUGGGAGCUCUGACAACCCUAUUCAGUAGAGAAGAGGAAGGCUCUGCCCGGGGUCCUCUACAGCUGCAAAUGACUCACACUGGAAGAGACCCUUCCAACGAGAUUUAAAGGGACAAAGUCUUCCAGAAGUGUUUCCAAAGUCAUCUUAAUAUGCAGAUUUCUAUCAUUUCAAGCUUUCUGCAUAAUGACUGCUCCUGUUGUACAGCCCAGGCUGGCGCAUGCUGUGCGCUUCAGGCCACAGCAAGAGCAGCAGGCCCAAGCCUACCUGCCCAGAUGUGCUGGGACCUGCCUGCUCCCAGAGAUAUCCCCAUGGAAAAACCACUCCCACACUUGCUGCCUCCUUAGGACAUGCCAGAAGAACAAAUCACACAUUCUGCUCAGUGCCUGCUGCUCUCCUGGUCACCAAAGAACACCAUGCAGAUGGGGCCUUCUCAGUAGGUUCCUCUCACACUCAGUGCCCAGCCAAAGGAGCAAGGAUGUGGCUGACGCUCCUGCUCUGAGGUUGCAUUGCUUUGUUUGCUCCAGAGGUAGGUGGCUUCCCUGCCCAUUCCUGCCUUUCCACAGCUCAACACGGGGUCACAAAGGUUCCAGCUGCUCACUGACAGGAGUUGAAGAUGGACGAUCCUACAAGUCUCUCCUACAGAAGAAAGCAUGAAAUCCUGUUGCCCGCUCCUCCUGCUCUGCUCCACAUUUCCAUACAGAGGCUCACAAAACAGGGGACCCUCCCACGUGGAUUUCAAACAUCCAAGUAGAACCAAAGUCAUCUCACAUGAGGGCCAGGCCUUUCCUGCAGAGGUUGAGGAAGAACAUACAACCAUGCUCCCCCACAGCGGUAUACAAGAAUGACAUCAUUAUGCUAAUAUAUAAGACAGGAAGCACAACCAAGCAUAAAAACCCACUGAAACUGAAUACAUAGGAAACACUGCCAAGAACACUAACGACUGCACUAAACAGAAAAUGAAAUAGUGUUUGGUUCAUCUGACUUCUUCCAGUUUUAGUAAUCUCUAGUGUCACUUGUAACAGUAAAAUCCAGUCCUCAGAGAGGGUGCUCAGGGCCUUUCAACUUCACAUGGAAAAUGAAGGUUUUUUCCAAGGUGAUGGUGACCUCCUAAUGUCUUACUCAGUCUAAAAACUGAUUUCAGUACUUUGACACCAGCCUAAUGACCCAGAUAAAACUGGCUGGGAUUUGCAUGCUGAGUUACACUAGUUCAUUGCCACUGAUAUUAACCAGCACUUUUUGCAUUUUAUUUAUUUAUUUAUUUUUAACUACUACUCUGUUUUACAGAGCAAUGCACUGAAUGCCUCCAAUCUCCUUCAGGAUGGCUUGUGUGCCUAAACAAACCUGUCCAAACCUGUACCAAGACUUGCCUAGACACAAGUGGCACCAGUGUCAUCUCAUCUGAAUGAAAACAUACAAAUAGGAUCAUCUGCACCACACUUGAUUGGUAAGACUUCUCCACAUCAACCCUAGAAAUUUCUAGGCAGAUCCCUGAAGCAAGAAAUCAGUCACAUUUGUGUUCCCUGCCUGUUCCCUCCUUUGGGCCGAGCAGCUGAGAAACUGAGCAGCAGUACCUACAAGAGCACAGCACUCAGCUGCUGGGAGGCAACGCCUUCAACGUCCUCAGCUUUCCAGAGAGCUGUGUAAAACUUAGCAAUAAAACUGUGAAACAAAAUCUGACCACUGACUGCUGACAAAGCAGCAGGUUCCCCAUCCUGCUUCACUUGCACUAGCCCUGGCACUCACGUGACCCCCACGAGAAGCCAAUUCAGAGCUAAAAAGCAUCAACUGGCUGCUAUAAGGAAAGUGAUCAGUUUUCUGCUUAAUCAGCAUGCUCAGUUGAGCGCUCUCACCUGACUGCCAGUGCCACAAUCUAGGUGAACUGGGGAGGAAAGGAAGCUUGCAUUAACCAGGGAAACACAAUCGACUUUGCUGAAUCAUUAAAUGAUGCACUACAUUACUGAACAGGUUGAAAUGAAUUGGUAAAGACUCCCGUAAGGAUAUCUGCUUGGCUUACAACUCGUUAUUACCAAGCAAUUAUGUUGAUUCCACUUAACUCAGCAGCAUGCCCCAUCUGCAGGUUUCAGUUAGGUUUAAUAGUGCACAACCUGCUGAAGCCAAAUGGGCAGCUCUCAGCAGCCAGAGUCGGGGCUCCACUGCCACGUGCCCUCCACUGAAUACACCUCCAAUUUUCCAAGAUUUCUAAAAAGCUCUUUCCCAUAGAAACCAUGUUAAUUUAAAUCAAUGCUAACUGCAGAACUUGGAGCUGAGGUCAUGGAUAUGUGUCUCCUUUGAUUUACAAGACAGAAUCCACUCAGCAUAACAUAAAACACUGCAGCCUUAGCAACGUACCAUUGCCCUCAAAAGCUUGUUCAUAAAACCUCAUUUUCUACAACGUGAACGACCCCACACAGAAAUUAUGAAGUGAAAUACAAGCAGGUGUUGCUGUUAUUAUUCACAAGACGUUUUCAGUUCCCUGAUGUUGGAUCUAUAUGUUCUACCUCAUGUUUGGAAAAUACAGUAAUUGUGUCAUUACUCUCCCUCAUAAUUCAGCAGAUCCUAUAAACCUGGAUGUAUUAAAAAUAUAAUUAAUCUCCUCAAACUUUGGAAAAUCUGAUCUAACAAUCCUGUUUUUUAACACUCGUACAUUUGAAAUAUAAUGAAUAUGUGACUGGUUUAUAUAGAAGAUACAAUGAGAAACAAGCAGCUCUCAGCUUUAAAUAGACUUCAGUACAGAACACCCAGAAGCCACAGGCCUUCCAAAAAAGUUCCAACCUGGAAGAGAAUUCAAGGUCUAGAAUAAUCAGUAGUCCCAUCUGUAGACUAGCAUAACCCAAGGCAGCCUGCUCUCUCACGCACCCCAUACCCACCAGCGUAGCAAACGGGACCCUCCAGAUACGUGAGCUUUGCCCACCUGUGACACCGACAUUACUCCUGAGUGCGGUCACUCCUGGCAACCCCACAGUCGUCUGUGGUGUGAGUUAUAGGCCCUGAAUGUACCACUUUUGAUUUCAUAAAUGCAUUACGCAUUCUGAAUGUUUUGGAAAGAAGUUAACCCAUUCUACCAACAAGCAAAAUGGAACAGCUAUUUUUAACUUCAAAUAAUUCUUUGCUUAGACUAAUGUAGGGUGUACGCAGGUGCAUGAAAUCACCACUUCUGAGCAGGGCAGGAACUGGGCUGGUUUCUCUGCUCACAGGGCCGCUCAGUACAGAAUGAGAAAGCAGAGUUGCAGGCUUCGGUUUCUUCAGAAAACAGAAUUCUUACUGCUGAAUUUGUUCAAAGCUUCACACUAAGGCCAACUGCAAUGAGUGUAACAGUUUCUCUUCAGAGUCACCCCUGAAGAAAGGUAAUGGAAAAAACACAUAACCACGCUGAGUCUCCGAGGCACGAGUCUGCAUUCUGUCCUACGCAGACCAUGAAAUCAACACUCCCCACUAACGGUCAUCAGCAACGUGACCCCAGCCAGCCUGGAGCACACGUAUGUGAACUGAUGAACUCCUAUUGUCUUAAGGAGCAUUUCUGGCUGUAGCCUCUGAGGACUGAAGUCUCCACACUGUCGUACAAAGUGGUACCUCUAGAAGCUGACACAAGGCCAUCAGAUUCUGAAGUCUCGCUAUCAGCACAAGGUGACUUCUACCACCAGAACCAUUGCCGGGGUGACAACUAACAUCCCCUGGCCAGAAAGAAGGACAAAAGACACUUGAGAUUCAUGGUUUUAUUUUUAAAUGUGAAAGAAAAUACGCUGAAAGGAACAAAGUCUGAAGGUUCUGUACCUUGAUAUAUCUCAUGCUGCAUAAUCCUGCUAAGCAGCAACCACAGAGUGAAUUGGCAGGGCCAGCACCAGCUGCAGACCAUGAGGGAGCAGGACUGGGAAUGCUCCUCACUGAGGCUGAUGUAAUGUUUUGACUCAACAGAGAACCCGAGAGCGAUCAAACUACAGACUGAAGUUGAGGAUGAGCACUUUCAACAAACAGGCUGGACAGGACCACACAAUCACUGAGAUAAUCACCUUAUUACCCACCAAUAUAACUGCUGUUCGAAGAAACACAUGUAAAAAAAACCCAGCCACUUAUCCAGGAACAUACUGCAUGAACACACUGGGCCACUUCAGCAGUACUGUACAGUCACUGCUGGAUAUAGCCCACUGCAGAUUUUUGGCAGCUAGCUCCAUGCCACGGGACCAGUCAUUUCCUACUACGUGCAGACACAGAAAAGACACAGAAAUGGUGCACCAGAACACAGUCCACCACAAUAAACAGUUUGCUGUAUAAGGACUGGAGCAAGUACAGCAAAGGUUAAAACAUGGGAGAGGAAGGAUUCUUCUUCCAGAGCUCACACCUUGCACUGGGGUAAAAAGACAACACCAGGUAAGAAGUAACAAAAUUGCAUGCAGGAGUAAUGCAUCAUUUCAUUAUUCCACAUUCAGAAAGCUUCUGUAUUCGUAUCAAAAGCAUUCCCAUUUAUCUAACAGACCACCCAAAAAAAAAAAAAAGAACUUCCACUUGACCACAGAAAUAUUUCCAUCACAAACGCCUGCGUUGUAUCAUAGAGACAGCACAAUAAAGGCAUUAAGAGUCUUUAGACUCAGCCCUGAACUUAAGCCCCGGGGGAAUAUGCUUCCCAGAAAGCAGCAGGCUGAUAUUUCUAAGCACUGCAGAGCAUGCCACUGCUUUACAGAAGUGCAAGAUUUAAUUGAGUGGAUUACUAUGAAAAAUAGUGUCAGUUAUGUUUGUUCUUCUUGAAGAUCUCAUGCAUUGAAGUUAUCUGCCUGAAAGCAUGACCACCCUCUCUCCUGUCUGUCCACCUCUUGAAGUUGUGACACUCAGUUUAUUAAGAAAAUCACCAAAGCAGCAGGAUAUACAUAAAUUCUCCUCGAGUGUGUGCUGGGUAACAGCAUCAGUCUUGUUUUUGACACUGGAAUACAGUAUUGUAAGAAACUGUUAGGAAUAUUUCUAAGAAUAACUGUUUAAAACCAGCUAUGUAUUUCACAAUAGUCAAUUGAUACAGACUAUUUUAAACUAUGCUUUUUCAUUACAUAUUUUCAAUUCCGAGUGAAAUCUGAUAGUAAUUUGAGGUUUUACCACUGCUUCCAAUACUCACUGCCCCAAGUAACCUUUCUGAAGCUAUAACUUUCUCUCCUGCAUGCAGACUCUCUUUCUGUAGGAAAUCAGAAAUAAUGGAGUUUAAGAUUGAACAACUGGAAGAAAAAUCAAUACAACUCCAGCGUAUUGGAACAACUUCUUGCACAUUAACAGGUUCCAUAUGAUGAGGGAAAAGCAAAGCUUUCCCCCACCUCUGUACGUUAAUUAGAGUUAGCAUACUGUGUUCUUUUAGGCAAAUUACGAAGUGACAGCUAUUCAGCAAUAUUAGACACAGCACUUCCUACCACACCCUACAAUAUUUUUGCAAUUAUCACACACUUUGAGUCAGAAACUAUUACACUCUAUGUAUAACUGUUUGGCUUCUGUCUCUGAGCAGCCCUUGUCUGGGCACACAGGCUACACAAAACCAGCUCCGGUGGCUACACAGGAAAGCUGUAAGAAAAUCCCCACAGCCCAACAGGAAGUGUCAUUUCUGUGAUUCACCAGAUUGCAUCUCUUCCUGAGAGUGCACCAACCAGCAUAAGCAGCACAGCAGUAGCUACAUGAAAAAGUCCUUUUCCUGUUUGUGCUGAAGAGCCCGUGACCAUUUCAGUUUGGCGUGACCUAGUCCAUCUCCCUCAUCAAACGCCACUAUGUAUUCCUCUACUACUUCAGGUACUUUCAGUUAGGGCAGCGUAGGGAGAAAAGGACAAAAGAGCUGGAAAAGGCAUUUUGCUUCAGAAUUAGCAGUGCCAGAUGAGCAGAGAAAACACUUUCCUGUCAGGAUGUACUGUUUUUUGAUCCUUUUACUUGGAAAAAAAAGAAUCUCUAAUAUGCUCAUACCGCAGUCCACCACUUUGGUGGAAGCAAAGCAACACAUCGCAGUGAGUGCAUACAGCCCAAUGCACUGGAAGGAAACUGCACAUUACAGUGACUGGACCAGAAGGAUUACCAGCCAUUUUCUUGCCAAAAUAACAAUUCAAAAAACCUAAGAGUUUUGUUAACAUCACAAGCCACAAAACAGAAUUGAAUUCCAUUCUGCUCCCUACCGUUCCCAUCUGGUUCUAAUUUGCUAGAGAAGACCGAAGACUGUAUUCAAAAAGCGUCAGACUGAGCUGUAAACAUCAGCUUCUCUGCCAGCAUUAGGAGUAACUUGUGAAGUACUGGAGCUACCACGGAAAGGAGUGGGGGAUGAAGCAAGACUUGCUCUGUCAUUAAGCCCAUUGUUUUAAUUGCAUUGUUUCGACCCAUGAAAUGAAAGUGAGAAAUGUUUGAUGCUCAGAAGAAACAUUUGCAGAAAAUCAAGUUCAGCUCAUCUCUAUUGUAACUCUACAAAAUGAAACAGUAAGAAGUUGAGAAGCAUCAGAACAGGCUGCCUGAACAACCAGACCUCUUGUUUAACAAAGUCUGUAAUUAUAGGCCACAUGCUGUUGCCUAAUUUUUUCCUUGUCAAGUUGUAAACAAAGGACAAAGCCUGCUUCAUAUUUGCUGUAGAAAUAGUUUUGUUAAAUUGUGACAAGCUAAUGAGUCUACAGCUAAUAGCAUCUUGCGGUAAAUGUUUAACAAUAUGCCUUUGAGAUUUUGCCCCCUAUCUGUGCCUUAGAUUUUCAAAAGGAUGAAAUUCCUGAAGCCUUUUUCAUUAAUAACUUGUGAUUAGUUUCUCGUUACUUAAGCCCUUGAUGUGAGGCACUGAUGUGACGUGUGAAAACCCACUUACACUGUUGGAAUAGAAGUGAAUAAAAUAACUGUUUCUGUAGCAACAUGGGCUUGGAAGGUUUAUGUUCUACAACAUACAACAGCUCCCUUCUAUUUUGAAGGAUCGUAGUCGGGUCUGCACUGGGCCCUGUCUCAAAAACUGAGGUGUGGGAAAGAGUGCUCUACUGACUGAGCAGAGCGGUCUCCUGCUCAGAGCGCGCGCUCAGCAUCCAUCAACACAACUGCAGCGAUGGAGCACCGAGCUUUGAUGUCAGAACAGUAAUCUACAGGAGCAGAGAAGAGCAGCUUAGGUAACACCAUAAACCAGUAUUGCCUCCCACAUCCACAACAUGUCCUGACACCCCACUUCCCAGUUGGAGCUCAUUAAGAGAGCUGGCAGCAUCCCAGCACCAAGCCAAGCCUGCAGUCACCAUCAGCUCGGUCCUACUGCUAUCGCUCCACACUUUGUUGUACCGACACAGACUUCUUUCCUCCAUCUAGCAUCACUCCAUGACGCCUCCAGUCUCAAGGCCAAGCAAACAAUCCCAUCAAGCACCUUAGUGAUCUUUUGCCAAUUCUGUGGUUCCAGGCCCAGAGUUCUGCACUGACUUCUUGAUGCCAUUAGAUGACAACCAUUUCAUUUCAGCAGGUCCCCACACAGGACUCACUUUUCACUCACAGUUGCUGAAGGUAGUUCUUCACAAACAACCCCUCUACUUCCAGAUUAGCUCUGUUCAAAAUCAUCAACUCACCAAUUCCUUCCCUUAUUAAUGCAGUCCUUCACCCUUAUUUGUUAUGCGUAUAUGUGAACCCACCACUUAGUUUCCUGCUUAUUAUUGUUGACCUUCCAUCAAAAAGCUCCUUUGAACCAAGUGGCUUCUUUUCUUGCCUAAACAUUACUGCAAUUAGAGGCGAUUAACAGCAGCAGCACACACUCAUACAUUCAGCUUAGAGUAGCCUUGAGCGCGCAUUAUAUGAAGAAUUCACUCAAGUCUCUUCUAGAUCUAGUUAAUGCUAUUCCCAGCCUGCAAGAGAUACGUGUGAAAAGGCUUUGUUACACAUGGCUAAGUUGCAUCUAUUUCAUACAGCUGAGGUAUGUAUAAUCUGACCAGCAUCAAGAAUUGUGAAAGGCUCAUUUUGAAACAAAAGCUUCUUAAACCCCACCCACUACUUAGAUACACUCCUUUCCCAUGAAAGGAUCACAGCCUGGAAAACAUUCGGUAAGCUCUCACAAGCAAGAGCCUUUAUUCUACAGCAUGUAAACAAGAAUGGAGCAUGAUUUCCCCUGCUCGGAUUCUACUGCCUUUGAGAACAAAACGCAGCACCUGUAACUUCAUCAUUAAGAUUUCUGGGAAGCUAAAAAGCUGAGAACAUGGGUAGUGUUACCAGUUCCACUUACAUACAGACCUUUCAGUACCCACAGACUCGCAUGCAGUAGCAGAUCCUACAGCUUAAAAGGAACAUAUGUUGACUUAAGUUACUGUCCUUCAGGUGAUUUAUUUACUGCUGUAGCACAUGCACUGUUCAAUGUUUCCUUUAUAUCUUUUCAAUAGUGGUAGUCAAUACUCGCAUCACACUUCAUAGGUGUUCACACAGUUGCUACCUUAUUACUAACUUCUUAUAACAUUACCAUAAAGACAUUAAAACUACUUUGCACAAACUGCAAACUAAAAUCACAAGCCUGUAGAAAGCAUUCAAUUAGCAACAAACUUCUUGGUUUUCAUGCACAAUUUAGGAAUUUAUCUGAGCAAAGCAGAACGGCUCAAGAAUCUCAGUAGCCAAGUGACCACAGCGCUGUGCCUCUUUAACACUGAAUUAGCAUGAAUCAGACACCGGAGGAUUAAGGCUUUACUGUCUGUGCCUAAGCAGUGAUGCAACAGGCUGUAAGUCUUUCUGGAAGCAGACAUUUUUCUCCUGAAGUUCAACAUUUUCUCAGUCUGUAUCCUCUUCUCAUAGCUAAAGCAGCUAAUGCUAGCAUUAUUACGUUUUUACUUCAGCAGAAAGAAUUACAGCCAGCAGCUGAGAUCUAUCCAGUUUUCACAACCAAACUUUAAGUGAAACAAAACCCCAAAUGAAACUGCAAACCAACACCCGCAAAUAGAGCAUGACCACCACUGCUACGUAAGAGGAAAGUACACCGUGCAAAAUACACCUAACACUGAAAUGAAAGAUCCCUUAUAUCCACUAGUGACAGUCAGAAGCUGCAGGAGGAGCAUGCUAGGACAAGCCUCCUGCUUCCAGCUAUGCUCCACACACGGGGACUCUUCUCCAUGCCAAAGCUACUAUCUAUCUGCCUCUUGCCCAAGUGAUUCCAGGCCACUUCUGCACACAUUCUGCAGCACCAAGAAGCUUCACACCUUAGGUGGAUUGCUGCAGAUCGAUUUGUCAGGAAGAGAGAUUAUUUAUAUCAAGGGUACAUACACUUUGACUGCAAAUGCGAGAUCAACACAAUACCCCAGACUCUUCUCUCCCCACUUUUAACACCCAUGUACCACUGCCAAUAAACGUAUGCAGCAAGAGAACUGUCGUUAUGCUAUUUUACUUUUCAAAACAGCAACUACAGACAGAGGAUAUGUUUUCUUUUGUUUUAAAUUUCUCCCUUAGGAGAAAACCAGAGGGGCUACCAUGGACUUCCUCAUACUGCUAUGGCUCAAGCUGGCAAUUAAGAUUUGUAUGGUUGUUGGUGGAGGCUUUUUUGUUUGUGUGCUGUUUUUUUAAGUAGGGAAGCAGUUUGACAUUGCAGAGACUAAACAGGCGCUGCUACCUGUACCUAUAAAUCGCUCCUACGUGUACAAGUAAUUUGUAACUAUGGAUGAGAAGCAGCAGCUGACAGACACUAAUGGCUGUUACCUACAUACAUUCACACUACACUAAGGGGUACUAUGACACUCUGUUUCACUGAUUUCUCACGUUGCUCAGGCCUGUGCACAGCAUCAAAGUUCCAAAGACGGCAAUCAGAGAAGUAGAUCUAGUUAUGAGUUGUAAUAACCACACUUUGGAGAAGCCACGUAUAACUCUCAGAUAAGCUGCAUUCUAAUAUUAGUUGAGAAGUGCAAUGCCUUUGCAUUCCUGGAAAAGAAAAUAGGUAGAGUGCUGCAGUGUAACUGCUAUGCUGUCCUACUCCUUCCACAACAGGUGAGGACAGACUGGCAUCAUUCUUCAGCUGGAACUGAUAAAGCAGCUGCGGGUUGCGUUUUUCCUCCUUGUUCAAGGUAACUGAGAUUCUGGGGGAGGGGAAGACAGGAAACGAGCACUUCUCCUGGUCCCCAAACCUAAGAAUAGCUGAGAUGGCAGUGCUGCAAGAUUUAGGCCACACAAGCAUUCAGAGAAGCAUGAAAUAUUUACACUCCGGGCAAACAAUCACAGAAGCCUUGCUUUUUGCCCAGAAUCUUUUUCUCAUUUUCCAAACAGAUCAGGAGGUUGUCCCAGGAAAGUUUACUUUCAGAGGGCAGAAAUGAGCUUGUUGUUAUAUUUUUAAACUACAGCUCUUUUUUUCUGUUCGUAUCUGAGAAGUCAGUUAAGCAGCAAGUACAGAUGACAGGACUCGGACUUGUGGAAUCAAGCACUGACUUUCACCUUUCAGGCACCUCUUGCACUGAAGGGAAAAAAAUCAGCAGUUUUAACAGUUUCUAUUCCACAUGGGAAGAGAAAGAAAACAAACACCUUUGUAUUUAUGCUGGGUACCACAUCCUAGAGAAAACUCAAAGUAAAUGCAAACAGUGUGAGUGAAAAAGACUGAAAAGAACACAUACAGUUUGCUGCCGCUGAACACAUUUUCCAUGACUUCUACCCAUAAGCAUAAGCUAAAUUCCUACAAACUGUGACUAGUAAAGAAAAAGUGACUGCUUAUAUCCUACAGACAAUUUUAGGUGAUGCAGAACAUGCACAAUAUUUCAGGGCUUACUUAGAGGCUUCAUCAUCCCAUCUCCAUGUAACAAGGCCACUGAUCUGGUUAGAACAUCUGCCAUUGCAAAAAGCUGGACAAAGUUGAGUUUGGUAUGAACAUCUAGCUUCAAAACAGCACUCAAAGUAAAACACAGAUACAACUCAACACCUCUUUUUGUUUACUCUUGGCCAAUCUUCCUCCUUUCCAUUCAGCUGGUUUCCAGGCUUAUGUACUUCACACUAUCCAUUCACUGCACAGGAAAUAUGCAAGCUGAUUUUGCAUUAGUCUGGCUGACAAGUGGGAAUUUGGAUGUAAAAUUGCAGCUCUUUGACGAACUUAAGUCUCCAGCAUGGUUACUUUCCUUUGAUGUUUAGAAAUAACUCACACUAUCAUUCAAAUGCCAACAAAACUAUCUUAAGUUUUGAAAUUAAGAGCCCUUAAACUUGAGCUUAAGUAGAUCUUAUGUGCUAACCCCAUGGCACAGCGAAGCACACCUAGCUGCACCCACGCAGAAAACUAGGGAAGGAAACCAUCAAUAAACAUUCUCCUCACCUCAUGGAAAGAGGGCUUCAAGUUGCCCACUACCCCCAGAGCAUACUUAAAUUGCCUAUAUAGGCAGGAAACCAAGGUAUUCCACCUGGCAGAUUAAGUGCUAGAAAUCCAUGACAGUUCAGAUAUGAGCUCCCAGAAGAAAGGAAAUUAUAGCUAAAAACAACCCCACUCUAUGUUUCCCUUCACAAGCUCCCUAAGAUGAAUGGAAGAAACAAAAAAACAAAAAAACUACCCAUGCUUUCCUAUUACACAACAACCAGCAAUCAUGUGAUGCACAAUGCAGCACAAGUGUUUGAAAUAGGGAUGUUUUCCAUACAGAGAAGAUUCUCCUCCAAACUUUCAGUCAUUUAAAACUCUGCACUUGCAUACAAUACCUCUGUUCUAAUCAAUUCUACAAUUGACUCUAGACAUAGCCUGAAGGUACUUAAAAGUUGUAUGCUGUUCAAGAAGUACAGGUUAGGCCUGCUCAUUUUCUGCCCAAUACAGACAAAUUUCACUCAGGUGCUCUUUUUUGUUGUUUGUUUUUUAAAAACACCUCCAGUUAGCACUGGGAAUACACUCUUUGCUUCAACCCAUCUCUACUUUUACUCUUUCCUCUAAACAGAUGCCUUAACCUGUAGAAGCCUUCACUCACCAUCCUCCCUUCGGUAGUCUGUAAAUAUUUGUAAGCACGGCCAUCCACAUGUAUUGAUAUGCUGGCUUUUGACCCUUUCAUCUUUCAUGCACUGAAGAACAGUUUGUUUAACCAGAUUUAAUGGAUACCUGACAUUUUUAAAGUCUGCUUGCAAGAGAAUGCAUUUCAUCCUUUCUUUCCUGCAAAAGACAAGAAGGCCAGGAGUCUCCUCUGAACAGGGAAUAUUCCACAUCAAGGGAGCUUGUAACAAAUAACACAAGUCAGACAUGUUCUUGCUUAACUGAACUGUCAAAAAAACCUAAGUCUCAAUGCUCGCAUGUUAAACAAAUGUAAAGGAAAAACAACUGAGUUCAACAAAGCAUCUCAUUAUUUAUCGUAUGACAAGUAGAGCAAGAUUCCAUCUUAAGAGCUACAGUAAAAGAGUUUCUGAACAGUUGUAAAACCUCUUAUUUGCUCCAAGGCCAAGUGGGCACAUCCAAAAAUCAGACUCAAUGUAGGGUUUUAGAAAGGUGCAGAAACAGAAAAAUCUACUGGACUUUUCAACAACCAGUCCAGGUUUGUUUGUUUUUUAACUCUGAUAGUCUGUAUGGAGUGGAGAACACCACUGAACAGACUGAUGACCCAGAAGGGCAGGAAGCAUCAACUCCAGAACAGUAUUUUUACAUCAUACUGGGGAAAAAAAAAGAAAAAGCGACUUAUUUUAAACUGUUAUUUCAUACAACCUUUAAAGGCUUUGAAUUUUAAAUACAGAACAGCUUCUGAACAGCUGUGAAGCUGAAAUAUCUAAGUUUGCAAGAUGCUAUUUCUAGGAAGAUGCAACAGAUGUUUUGUACUUGUUCAUAUGUACAUCCUAUUCUAAACAGGAUGUGGAAUUUACUUGUAAUGAGCACAAUCAGUGUAUAAUUGCUGUUCAACGCUAUUCAAGCAAAAAGGAGAAGCAUAAGACACUUCCUGUCAAAUACACAGGCUGCCUAUUGGACAAAUCCAUGCAUUAUGCAGCACUUAAAGACAAGCAGAAGUACCUUCCAGCAAGUCACAUCUAGAUAGGAGCAGCUACAGACAGUUUGAUCUCUGCUUACUUUGUGCUGUGCUACUUACAAAAUAUACUGUAAGGAUGUGAGCAUUAGUCAAGUGGAAAGUUUGCGAUGUAGGCCUAUAGUUCUGAUCAGACUAGGUAGCAGAGCCAUUAAAGUGAACAGAACAGGCCCUGAGUGCUGCCUGAAUAUUCUCACUAACUUACUAAAGUGGGUAGAGCUGCUGGAACAUUGUUGCAGUAUCACUGCAUUACUAAAAUUAAGAUAUGUUUAAGUAAAGUGACGUAAGCAGGAGAAAGUGUCAUACUCCCCAAACGAUCACCUUGCUUUGCUAACUGUAGGAUGGGGUUAUGACAGCUUUAACAAAAAGCUCUCCAAGUACGUUCUAGCAUUUGGCCUAGAAGGCAAAAUCUGGAUAACCAACACCAAGAAGAACAGCAGAUAACUACUCCUAUUUACUUGAACAGGAUUACCAAGGAGUUAUGCUACUGAAUUAAAAGAUAAACCAACGUAGCUAACAGCUGCUUGCAAGACCAAUAGUACUUGCAGCACAAUAGCCGGGGGGAAAUGGUAGAAGAGCAGCUUGCCUGUUCCAGAAAAAAUAGUGAAACAGAAAUACGCACAGUCAACUCUGAGAAAUAGUGCAGGCUUAACUACAGCCUUCAGGACACAGUCCUAAUAAUACCUUGUGACAACCAUUCCCUCCCAUUAAUUAGGUCUACACUACCAACUGUAGUUUUAGGAGUCACCUGAUGAAAAAGCUCUAAGACAUGUAGAAUUCAGUAGGUUGAAUUUGCUCUCUAUAAUCCAUCUGACAGCAGCAUGUUUUUUUCUUCUUGUUCAUAGUACUUAGCCUCAUCUGAAAUAUUCCUGCUCACCAAAUUUAAAAGAAAGAAAACAAUCUAAAUGCUUCCUUUAUAUUCCCUAUUUUUGCCCCAAACAACAUACUAUAUAUACACCCUGAAAAAGUCCUCCAAUUUCAGGAGUCCCUCAGUGCUACAGCAAGAAUGCUGCACACCUACAUUCAGUGUUUAUAUUUAAAGUUUAGCCUUAAGUAGAUGAUCUGGGAAAGAGAAGAAAAACCUUGAAAAACUAUUUUACUUGCAUAUAAAACCCACCUGCAUUUUUAUGCAAUUUUCAAGUCAAUGGAAAUUUAAGGGUAUGACAUGGUAGUAUUACAGAAUUACAGUAAUAGUUUUCACAAGUCAGCAGCAGGCUAAGAAAACCUGCUAUGUCCCAGACUCAUCACAAGAGGUACCACCAAAAACAUUCCUGCAUUUUUAAGCACAGCAAAGCAGGUGAUUCAACAACCCAAUUUCUUCCUCUUCACAUUUGGUUACUCUGUCAGGUACCACAAAUCCAUCUCUUGCUACAGGUACGUGAAGUCAAGAACUCAAAGGCCCACUGCCACUACCUCUUCGUUACGGUCAUUUCCCCUCCCCAGAAGAAAUCAGCACAGAUUCAAAUGUAUUAUCUCUUCUAAAGAGGAGACACUUCAAGUUCAAAAACUGCUGUCAGUUGAGCGCAGACACCGUGGCUCCUAGAUGAAGUAUAUUCUUUCCUAUGCUUGUGCAGAGACAGUAGACAGAAGUGUUUCUCAGAAGCAGUUUAAAAAUAGGAUCUCACAACUGCCCAGCAUGCCUUUAUAAGCUUACGAUAUGCCUGCUCCAGUGUAUGAGCACUGAGAUGAUGGCACGCAGCUCUGGAGACAAAUUCAGUGUGCAGUACUACCUUGACAAAAGCAACAGUUUCAUUUCAUCAAAAAGCAGCCUUCGAAAUCAGUACAGGGGUAGUAACAGUAUUAAAAAACAUGCUCUCAAUAAGUCUUUUAAUUAGAAGGCCCGUUGUUUUUCCUGGAGGGACACCUCCUGUCUCAGAUAAGACAGCAGUACAAACAUUACAGCCCAAAAUGGAGCAGCACAACUACCCCAGUUCAGCACUUAGAAGAGAAUUAUCCUGGUAGAAGACCGGACCAAAGCUACAGCUUAGGUUACACUAACAGCAGCACAACUAUAAAUCUCCAGUUCAUUUUUCACUUAAAUUUAGGGAACCACAUGACAGUGAUCUAAUCGGGGAGGGCAGAAACAUGGGAGGCAGGAACAAGACAGAACUAGAUGUCAAGUACUUAUUUUCCACACAGCUCUUCCCUCUUCUUGUGUCCCCCCCACUAGUUUUGACAGUGACACCCCAGAUUGGCCACACAAGUUAGCCUUGGACUCGUAAGGGUUUGGUAUAUUGCAAGUGUAUUAGCAUUGCACCCAGUGGCUACCAAAGACCUGAACACGACAACCAACCAAGAAGAAGUACAUAUACUAAUCAUUGUACAAAGAAUUGUACAAAGCUUCACCAACACAAUGUUUCAUUAGUUGUCAACCUACUGAGGUUAGCAAGAAGGAAACAUGAUUGUAGCCAGUCAGAAAGCUUCCCACUCUGAAUACAGCAGUUAGACAUCCUAAUUGUGUACUUUUGAAUAGGCCACACUGACCAGGACUACAGCAGUCUUCUGAAGUUAAUCCUUUCUAGAAACAUUAAGUAAUGCUGCAUUGCAGCUGCACUUUACUGUUGAAAAAGGAAUGCUGCAUAUUUGUACAUCAUUAACAAGCUGUCAAACAGUGCUUCCACGCUUGACCACAAGAGAACCCUUACUACUCCUUCUGAGUCAACUAAAGCUUAUCCUAACACAAACCCUCAAGUUGCACGCAAAGGAUGCUCCUGUCCUGCUGCUCUUCAAACAGUCCUUCCAAAUCCAGGUGGAAAUAUCUGUUGACACUGAUUGGUUUCUGCUCAGUAGAAAGUCACUGGACGUGCAAGCAACACAUACUAAUUUGACAAGAGACCAUUGUGACCCACUGAGAUGACAAGUUUUUUUUUAAAGAUUAGCUUAGAACUCUUCCAGUACAACUAAUUCUUCACCAAGCGGUUCAGUUAUUACAUUACCAAUCACUUCAGGAGCAAGAAAGCCUCCCUCAAGUUCCAUGCUGUUCCAAUGAAAUAAGCUCAUUAAGUUCAAAAGUCCUGUGAACUCUUAACUGGAAUUCUGUUCUUUCCCAGCUUUAGCCGGAACAUUUUUGUAGGUUAUCCUAUCAAUGCAUCUGAAAUGACCCUGCCACCUGCUGUUCCUACAACUGUAGGUCAACCUAGUAAUACCUUACAU